rnacentral:rRNA from 1 species
AGCUGCUCCUAGUACGAGAGGACCGGAGUGGACGUACCCCUGGUGUUCCGGUUGUCACGCCAGUGGCAUUGCCGGGUAGCUAUGUACGGACGGGAUAACCGCUGAAAGCAUCUAAGCGGGAAGCCCCUCCCAAGAUAAGAUCUCCCUGGAGUUUUAAACUCCCUUAAGGGUCGUUGUAGACCACAACGUUGAUAGGCUGGGUGUGGAAGUGCAGCAAUGUAUGAAGCUAACCAGUACUAAUUGCCCGUGAGGCUUGACCAUAUAACACCCAAGCAGUU